rnacentral:rRNA from 1 species
CCUACGGGUGGCUGCAGUAGGGAAUAUUGCUCAAUGGGGGCAACCCUGAAGCAGCAACGCCGCGUGGAGGAUGAAGGCUUUAGGAUUGUAACUCUUUUUGUGUGAGAAGAUACUGACGGUCUCUCACGAAUAAGCACAGGCUAAUUCCGUGCCAGCAGCCGCGGUAAUACGGAGGGUGCAAGCGUUAAUCGGAAUCACUGGGCGUAAAGCGUGCGUAGGUGGGCUUUUAAGUCAGAUGUGAAAUCCUGUAGCUUAACUACAAAAUUGCAUUUGAAACUGGGAGUAUAGAGUGUGGUAGAGGUAGGUGGAAUUCGUGGUGUAGGGGUAAAAUCCGUAGAUAUCAAGAAGAAUACUGAUUGCGAAGGCGACCUACUGGAACAUUACUGACGCUCAUGCACGAAAGCGUGGGGAGCAAACAGGAUUAGAUACCCGGGUAGUC